ACCAGGAAGAAAGGAUCAAAGAGAGACAAUGUUUUCUCUUAUACACAUUGUUUGCACAUUGCUCGUUAACACCUCCAGGACAGAGCGUCACCAUGAAAUUCUCUAUUGAGCAGUAAAGAGAGACAGAGAGAGAGAGAGAGAAGAAAAAAGAAACAACAGCCUGGAAGUAGCUUUUGUCUUUCACCACUAUUCACUAUUGAGAUGUUUUAAUAGCUAUAAAAGGAGAGAGGGAUUGUCAUGCUGCCAUGAAAUGGAUAUAAACAAUUUUCAGCUGAGACUCUGACCAAAAAUAGAAAAGUGGUUUCUAAACAACAAAGAAAUGGGGGUAAUAUAACAUUCCAAAGAAAGUAUCCUUAAAGAGCCUGUGGAGCAUCUGAAAAAUAUCGAUCCUAGAAAGCAAAUGAAACAGCAUAUUGAUCUUGGAAGAAAAAAAAGGUGGUGAGAACCAUGAAAACAGCCGGAGAAAAGUCUUAGCAAUAAAGAAGAGCACACCUUACUGACAGACUUGAAGGAAGACUGAAAAUGUGAAGGUACAGGAAAAUUUUAAGGUGAAAUAGAAAGAUAAUCUUAAAAGUAUAAGUCAAGGUCAUUAGUGAAUAAUAAUGCAUGUGGGUUUUAAGAAAAACACUUCAGUGGGGGAAAGUGAUAAACAACAGAUUUUAGUUCCAGCUAAGCCUCCAAAUAGAGUGAAUUUCAGAAAUCACUAAAUCCCAGGCACUCAUCUUUUAUACGUGUAAAAAAGAGCAGUGAUAGCAACAUUCCAGUCACAGGAUUGUUAAAAUGACCCAUUGGGGAAUUUGUGAAGCAUGUCUUUGAAUUCUUUUCCCAAAGGGAUUCUGUCUUAGGCAAUAUUAGGUUUGGCAACCAUUAAACCAAACAAUUGCUAAGGUACAAAUAGCCAGCAUACUUCCUAAAAUAUGCUGUAUAAGAAAAUUAGAGAAUCAUGGAAAAUCCCAA